rnacentral:rRNA from 1 species
UACGCAGGGGGCUAGCGUUGUCCGGAAUCAUUGGGCGUAAAGCGCGCGUAGGCGGCCCGGUAAGUCCGCUGUAAAGGUCAAAGGCUCAACCUUUGAAUGUCAGUGGAUACUGCCGGGCUAGAGUCCGGAAGAGGCGAGUGGAAUUCCUAGUGUAGCGGUGAAAUGCGCAGAUAUCAGGAAGAACACCAGUGGCGAAGGCGGCUCUCUGGUACGUGACUGACGCUGAGACGCGAAAGCGUGGGGAGCAAACAGG